rnacentral:rRNA from 1 species
AGUGAACGCUGGCGGUAGGCCUAACACAUGCAAGUCGAACGGCAGCACAGUAAGAGCUUGCUCUUACGGGUGGCGAGUGGCGGACGGGUGAGGAAUACAUCGGAAUCUACUUUUUCGUGGGGGAUAACGUAGGGAAACUUACGCUAAUACCGCAUACGACCUACGGGUGAAAGCAGGGGAUCUUCGGACCUUGCGCGAUUGAAUGAGCCGAUGUCGGAUUAGCUAGUUGGCUGGGCAAAGGCCCACCAAGGCGACGAUCCGUAGCUGGUCUGAGAGGAUGAUCAGCCACACUGGAACUGAGACACGGUCCAGACUCCUACGGGAGGCAGCAGUGGGGAAUAUUGGACAAUGGGCGCAAGCCUGAUCCAGCCAUACCGCGUGGGUGAAGAAGGCCUUCGGGUUGUAAAGCCCUUUUGUUGGGAAAGAAAAGCAGCAGGUUAAUACCCCGCUGUUCUGACGGUACCCAAAGAAUAAGCACCGGCUAACUUCGUG